CCUACGGGAGGCAGCAGUGAGGAAUAUUGGUCAAUGGACGAGAGUCUGAACCAGCCAAGUAGCGUGAAGGAUGACUGCCCUAUGGGUUGUAAACUUCUUUUAUAUGGGAAUAAAAUGUUCCACGUGUGGGAUUUUGUAUGUACCAUAUGAAUAAGGAUCGGCUAACUCCGUGCCAGCAGCCGCGGUAAUACGGAGGAUCCGAGCGUUAUCCGGAUUUAUUGGGUUUAAAGGGGGCGUAGGUGGAUUGUUAAGUCAGUUGUGAAAGUUUGCGGCUCAACCGUAAAAUUGCAGUUGAAACUGGCAGUCUUGAGUACAGUAGAGGUGGGCGGAAUGCGUGGUGUAGCGGUGAAAUGCUUAGAUAUCACGAAGAACUCCGAUUGCGAAGGCAGUUCACUGGACUGCAACUGACACUGAGGCUCGAAAGUGUGGGUAUCAAACAGGAUUAGAUACCCUUGUAGUC
rnacentral:rRNA from 1 species